rnacentral:tRNA from 1 species
GUGGUUGUAGCUCAGUUGGUUAGAGCGUCUGAUUGUGGUUCAGAAGGUCGCGGGUUCGAGACCCGUCUCCCACCCA